rnacentral:lncRNA from 1 species
AUGCCACAGAUAAAGGGUUUUACAGACACCUGGGAUCUGACCAUCAACAUGGCCCGCACCUUGAGCUCUUCUACCUGGGAUGUCAGGGCAUCUGGUCUGGCUCUGCGUUCCUAUCCCUUUGUUAGCCACUGGGUUCUCAGCAAUGAGAACGUGAAUGAAAUGAGCUUGACGCGAAAUCCCGACGAGCUGGGAGAACAGCUUGCUGGGAGAAAAGCUUGCUGGGAGAAAGACUUGGACGAAUACGUACCAAACCCUUAUCAUCCAGCAGCCUCGAAACUCCGCAGUUUAGCUGCUUGAUCCUUUUUAGGCCUAGUGUUCCGUUUCUGGAACAGCACAUAACAAUGGAACGUAAUAAAGAAUUUUCUUUUCAAAUUCCUGUUCCUUGAAUUUUUCUAGGUAACAUUGUAAUUUCAUGCAAAAAAUUUAAAAAUUGCAACGUUUGGCAUAAAUGUGUUACAUCCCUUUGUCCUUGUCUGGGUGGCCCUGGCUUGGGGUCAGGCUGGUUGCCUCUCGUCCCCUGAGAGGUCAGGGGUGCUGGUUGGAGGACCUACGCUGCUUUCCAGCAGUUUUUCUUCUGUCUAUUGCCUUCAUUUUUUCAUUUUUCCCACCUCCAUUCUGGAAAAUUGUGUAGUCAGGACUGUGGUGUAAUUUUGUAUGUGUG